rnacentral:rRNA from 1 species
AGAUGACUCUCGGCAACGGAUAUCUAGGCUCUUGCCACGAUGAAGAACGUAGCGAAAUGCGAUACUUGGUGUGAAUUGCAGAAUCCCGUGAACCAUCGAGUUUUUGAACGCAAGUUGCGCCCGAGGCCACCUGGCUAAGGGCACGCCUGCCUGGGCGUCACGCUUUGCGUCGCU